rnacentral:rRNA from 1 species
CCCUAUUAUACUUAAAGUAAAUUUAAUUUAAAGUAGUAAAUGUUAUAAUCAGGAAACUUAAAAAAUUUGGCGGUACUUAUUCUUAUUAGAGGAAUAUGUUUUUAAUUGAUAAUCCACAAUUAUCUUACUUAAAUUUUUAAAUUUUGUAUAUCUCCGUUUAAAAAAUUUUUUUUAAAAUAAAAUUUAAUUUUCUUUAAAGAAAUAAAUCAGGUCAAGGUGCAGAUUAUAUUUAAGUUAAAAUGUAUUACAAUAAAAUUAUUUUUGGAUAUUUAUAUGAAAAUUUAAAUUUAAAUUGGAUUUAAAAGUAAAUUUAUUUAAAUAAUAAUAAAU